rnacentral:rRNA from 1 species
GUUAAGUGACUAAGCGUACACGGUGGAUGCCUAGGCAGCCAGAGGCGAUGAAGGGCGUGCUAAUCUGCGAUAAGCGUCGGUAAGGUGAUAUGAACCGCAAUAACCGACGAUACCCGAAUGGGGAAACCCAGUGCAAUCCGUUGCACUAUCAUUAACUGAAUCCAUAGGUUAAUGAGGCGAACCGGGGGAACUGAAACAUCUCAGUACCCCGAGGAAAAGAAAUCAACCGAGAUUCCCCCAGUAGCGGCGAGCGAACGGGGAAGAGCCCAGAACCUGAAUCAUCAGCAGCAUUAAUGGAAGCGUCUGGAAAGUCGCGCGACACAGGGUGAUAGCCCCGUACAUGAAAGUGCAGUUGGUGUGAGUUCGAUGAGUAGGGCGGGACACGUGUUAUCCUGUCUGAAUAUGGGGGGACCAUCCUCCAAGGCUAAAUACUCCUGGCUGACCGAUAGUGAACCAGUACCGUGAGGGAAAGGCGAAAAGAACCCCGGCGAGGGGAGUGAAAUAGAACCUGAAACCGUGUACGUACAAGCAGUGGGAGCCUCUCUUUAUGGGGGGUGACUGCGUACCUUUUGUAUAAUGGGUCAGCGACUUAUAUUCUGUAGCAAGGUUAACCGAAUAGGGGAGCCGCAGGGAAACCGAGUCUUAACUGGGCGUCUUAGUUGCAGGGUAUAGACCCGAAACCCGGUGAUCUAGCCAUGGGCAGGUUGAAGGUUGGGUAACACUAACUGGAGGACCGAACCGACUAAUGUUGAAAAAUUAGCGGAUGACUUGUGGCUGGGGGUGAAAGGCCAAUCAAACCGGGAGAUAGCUGGUUCUCCCCGAAAGCUAUUUAGGUAGCGCCUCGUGAACUCAUCUUCGGGGGUAGAGCACUGUUUCGACUAGGGGGUCAUCCCGACUUACCAACUCGAUGCAAACUGCGAAUACCGAAGAAUGUUAUCACGGGAGACACACGGCGGGUGCUAACGUCCGUCGUGAAGAGGGAAACAACCCAGACCGCCAGCUAAGGUCCCAAAGUCAUGGUUAAGUGGGAAACGAUGUGGGAAGGCACAGACAGCCAGGAUGUUGGCUUAGAAGCAGCCAUCAUUUAAAGAAAGCGUAAUAGCUCACUGGUCGAGUCGGCCUGCGCGGAAGAUGUAACGGGGCUAAACCAUGCACCGAAGCUGCGGCAGCGACACUUAGGUGUUGUUGGGUAGGGGAGCGUUCUGUAAGCCUGCGAAGGUAGACUGUGAGGUCUGCUGGAGGUAUCAGAAGUGCGAAUGCUGACAUAAGUAACGAUAAAGCGGGUGAAAAGCCCGCUCGCCGGAAGACCAAGGGUUCCUGUCCAACGUUAAUCGGGGCAGGGUGAGUCGACCCCUAAGGCGAGGCCGAAAGGCGUAGUCGAUGGGAAACGGGUUAAUAUUCCCGUACUUGGUGUUACUGCGAAGGGGGGACGAAGAAGGCUAGGCCGGCCGGGUGACGGUUAUCCCGGUUUAAGCGUGUAGGUGGGCAGUCCUGGUAAAUCCGGUCUGCUGUAUAACACUGAGGCGUGAUGACGAGUCUCUACGGAGAUGAAGUGGUUGAUGCCCUGCUUCCAGGAAAAGCCUCUAAGCAUCAGGUAACACGAAAUCGUACCCCAAACCGACACAGGUGGUCAGGUAGAGAAUACUCAGGCGCUUGGGAGAACUCGGGUGAAGGAACUAGGCAAAAUGGUGCCGUAACUUCGGGAGAAGGCACGCUGGCAAUAGGUGAAGUGGCUUGCCCAUGGAGCCGAAGCCAGUCGAAGAUACCAGCUGGCUGCAACUGUUUAUUAAAAACACAGCACUGUGCAAACACGAAAGUGGACGUAUACGGUGUGACGCCUGCCCGGUGCUGGAAGGUUAAUUGAUGGGGUUAGCGCAAGCGAAGCUCUUGAUCGAAGCCCCAGUAAACGGCGGCCGUAACUAUAACGGUCCUAAGGUAGCGAAAUUCCUUGUCGGGUAAGUUCCGACCUGCACGAAUGGCGUAAUGAUGGCCAGGCUGUCUCCACCCGAGACCCAGUGAAAUUGAACUCGCAGUGAAGAUGCUGUGUACCCGCGGCAAGACGGAAAGACCCCGUGAACCUUUACUAUAGCUUGACACGGAACAUUGAACCUUGAUGUGUAGGAUAGGUGGGAGGCUUUGAAGCAUGUACGCCAGUACGUGUGGAGCCAACCUUGAAAUACCACCCUUUAAUGUUUGAUGUUCUAACUUAGCCCCGUUAUCCGGGGUGAGGACAGUGUCUGGUGGGUAGUUUGACUGGGGCGGUCUCCUCCCAAAGAGUAACGGAGGAGCACGAAGGUUGGCUAAUCCUGGUCGGACAUCAGGAGGUUAGUGCAAAGGCAUAAGCCAGCUUGACUGCGAGAGUGACGGCUCGAGCAGGUACGAAAGUAGGUCUUAGUGAUCCGGUGGUUCUGUAUGGAAGGGCCAUCGCUCAACGGAUAAAAGGUACUCCGGGGAUAACAGGCUGAUACCGCCCAAGAGUUCAUAUCGACGGCGGUGUUUGGCACCUCGAUGUCGGCUCAUCACAUCCUGGGGCUGAAGUAGGUCCCAAGGGUACGGCUGUUCGCCGUUUAAAGUGGUACGCGAGCUGGGUUUAGAACGUCGUGAGACAGUUCGGUCCCUAUCUGCCGUGGGCGCUGGAAGAUUGAGGGGGGUUGCUCCUAGUACGAGAGGACCGGAGUGAACGCACCGCUGGUGUUCGGGUUGUGAUGCCAAUUGCAUUGCCCGGUAGCUACGUGCGGAAAAGAUAAGCGCUGAAAGCAUCUAAGCGCGAAACUUGCCCCGAGAUGAGUCUUCCCUGGGAUUUUAAGUCCCCUAAAGGAACGUUAAAGACCAUGACGUAGAUAGGCUGGGUGUGUAAGUGCAGCGAUGUAUUGAGCUAACCAGUACUAAUGAACCGUGAGGCUUAACC